UCUCAGAAUCAUACAGAUAAGUGAUUACAUACAAGAGGUGGGCAAUUUAUGUCGAAGAUAAACCUCAAUGAUUUGAUAACAGGUAUUAAUAUAAUGAAGAAAAAAAACCUUAAAAUUGAAUUGAAAGUCCUAUACACAUCACUAAAUAUUGACAAUAUAGUUUGUAAUCGGUGUAGUCCAAACUGUUGGGGAACCAAGUAUGAUUUUUUUUUUCUGUGAACACUCAAGAUCCAACUAUGGAGAUGCAUAUCAAAGAGAGAGAGAGAGAGAAUGAGUCUACGUAUCCUUAUAGACCGUUAAGCGAAAGCUUAUAUUACGUGGUUGAUGUAGUCGUACUCUUAACGAUCCAAUCCAAUCCAAUGCCAAACGGGCGGCACCUCCACGUUCAGCACACGUGUGGCUCGAUGACAUCCUUGUCUCCCUGAUCCAGCAAGAGAGGAUGGAGAAGUAGAUGAGAUCUCAACUAACAUGACAGCGUGUUGGAUAUGGUGGUGGUACAGUGCCAGCACGGCUUUGCCAAGCCCCUCUGGAACGACCAACGAGGAAGAACAUGGGAAGACAUGAUAGGGGCUGCCCAAGGAAGGGGAAAGGAAUUAGUGUGUUGCUGCCCUCUAUUUAUAGGAGCAAGGGGGAGGGGCGCAACCCCCUUUGCCCCUCCUCCAAGGAGG
rnacentral:lncRNA from 1 species